rnacentral:rRNA from 1 species
GAUGAACGCUGGCGGCGUGCUUAACACAUGCAAGUCGAACGGAAAGGCUCCUGCUUGCAGGGGUACUCGAGUGGCGAACGGGUGAGUAACACGUGGGUGAUCUGCCCUGCACUUCGGGAUAAGCCUGGGAAACUGGGUCUAAUACCGGAUAGGACGAUGGUUUGGAUGCCAUUGUGGAAAGUUUUUCGGUGUGGGAUGAGCUCGCGGCCUAUCAGCUUGUUGGUGGGGUAAUGGCCUACCGAGGCGUCGACGGGUAGCCGGCCUGAGAGGGUGUACGGCCACAUUGGGACUGAGAUACGGCCCAGACUCCUACGGGAGGCAGCAGUGGGGAAUAUUGCACAAUGGGCGCAAGCCUGAUGCAGCGACGCCGCGUGGGGGAUGACGGCCUUCGGGUUGUAAACUCCUUUCGCUAGGGACGAAGCGCAAGUGACGGUACCUGGAGAAGAAGCACCGGCUAACUACGUG